rnacentral:rRNA from 1 species
UGAGGAAUCUUGGUCAAUGGACGAGAGUCUGAACCAGCCAUGCCGCGUGAAGGAUGAAGGCGUUCUGCGUUGUAAACUUCUUUUGCGGGGGAAGAAACCUUGAUAUUCUUAUCAAGCCGACGGUACCCCGAGAAUAAGCACCGGCUAACUCCGUGCCAGCAGCCGCGGUAAUACGGAGGGUGCAAGCGUUAUCCGGAUUCACUGGGUUUAAAGGGUGCGUAGGCGGGCGUAUAAGUCAGUGGUGAAAUCCUGGAGCUUAACUCCAGAACUGCCAUUGAUACUAUAUGUCUUGAAUAUGGUGGAGGUAAGCGGAAUAUGUCAUGUAGCGGUGAAAUGCAUAGAUAUGACCCGGAACACCGCUUGCGAAGGCAGCCCACUAAGCAAUGAUUGACGCUGAGGCACGAAAGCGGGGGGAUCAAACA